UGAAAAGAAAUUAAAAGAGAAACUCGAAGGUGCCGCUCAUGACCCUGGGGAUUACUUGACACCGGCUGAGGCGGCGGCGGCGGCGGCGGAAGGAGGGGCAAGGGUCGCCGCUGGUAUUCCGUACCCGCCGCCGCCGGCGCAAUCGUGCGGCCAGCCCCUCUCGAGCCCUUCUCCGUCCGACUCCAUGUUCAACAACUCCCCUGCACUCCCUCUCUCUCUCGCUCUCUGCACGAUCCCACAUCCUCACCAUCGUCUCUCUCUCUCUCUCUCUCUUUCUAUUCACCACCUCCGCAGGAGGAGUAGCAAAGAGCAAGAGAGUAAAUCCCGGCAGCGACAACCUCGGCGGCAGGCGGAGCCCCAGGCGACGAUGGCCAGGGCGCCUCCUCCUCCGACAAACCCCCAGGAGGAGGAGGAGGAAGCGCUGCCACCGCCGCACACGCUCCCCAGCAAAUCCAAGAACUCAGAGCGUUCUUCAAUCAGUGUCUGCAUCCUGAGGAGCAGAAGUAAAGGUUGGAGCUGAGCAGAGAGGCCUUUUGCUUGGGGGACCAGAAGAGGUUCCGGAAUCGUCGCACCCAGAUGAAGGUAAACUGUAAAAAUUCGAUCUUUUCAAAGAAAUCUGUAGAAAGUUUUCAUCUGUCUUUUUGCGGGGUUUUCUUGAUUGCACGAACUGCGGCCGCGAGGGGACCCGGUUCGCACCGAUUUCGGUUGAGAAGCAGGACGUCUCUGGAUCUUGGAACGCUUGCUUCGUGGAGGACCAACGCUUCCAGUUUUGCUUUUAGUUUUUCAGUGCUUUUUUUCUUGAAAUAGCUGACAUGAUAAUCACAUCAGCACCUCCCUUAGGAAAAUUAGGGAAA